rnacentral:tRNA from 1 species
ACGCUCGUGGUCUAGCGGUUAUGAUGGGAGCUUCCCAAGCUCUUGACCCGAGUUCGACUCUCGGCGGGCGUA